rnacentral:rRNA from 1 species
GGGGGGGCGGGUGCUAUACAUGCAAGUCGAGCGGACAGAUGGGAGCUUGCUCCCUGAUGUUAGCGGCGGACGGGUGAGUAACACGUGGGUAACCUGCCUGUAAGACUGGGAUAACUCCGGGAAACCGGGGCUAAUACCGGAUGGUUGUUUGAACCGCAUGGUUCAGACAUAAAAGGUGGCUUCGGCUACCACUUACAGAUGGACCCGCGGCGCAUUAGCUAGUUGGUGAGGUAACGGCUCACCAAGGCGACGAUGCGUAGCCGACCUGAGAGGGUGAUCGGCCACACUGGGACUGAGACACGGCCCAGACUCCUACGGGAGGCAGCAGUAGGGAAUCUUCCGCAAUGGACGAAAGUCUGACGGAGCAAC